rnacentral:ncRNA from 1 species
AUCAUCUUUUUCUUGGGGUAGUACUACUAUCCAAUGAAUGAGUAGUGAGGGCAGUACUGCUAAUGCCUACACAACAUGCCCACAUCAACCAGAGCUUUGCUUUACUUUGGUGCAAUUUUUGGACAA